rnacentral:lncRNA from 10 species
CCAGUAGCUGCUGUGGCUGAGAGUGUGCCCAACAUCUGCUUCUCAUGCAGCCUCACUCUGGCCAGCUUUUAUGUAGGGCAGACAUCUCAGGAGGAAGAGCCAACAGAACCAGAAGUGUUCCCAGACAUGUUGCUUCACCACCGUGCCUCUCUUUCUUUCAGCAAACAGGAGAGGUAGGAGAGGAAGGCAGAACAGAGCACUGACUCAGCCCACCUGCACCCAGGUGAAAUAAACAGCUUUAUUGCUCACACAAAGCCUGUUUCGUGGUCUCUUCACACUGACGUGCAUGAAAUUUGUUGCCAUGACUUGGAUCGGGGGACCUCCCUUUGGAGAUCAAUCCCCCAUCCUCCUGCUCUUUGCUCCGUGAGAAAGAUCCACCUAUGACCUCAGGUCCUCAGACUGACCAGCCCAAGAAACAUCUCACCAAUUUCAAAUCCGAUCUUCUCGGCUUAGCGGCUGAAGACUGCUGCUCGGUUGCCUCGGAAGCCCUAUAGACCAUCACGGAUGCUGAGCUUUAGGUAACUCUCACAGUGGAAGGUAAGCCCGUCCCCUUCUUAAUCAAUAUGGAGGCUACCCACUCCACAUUACCUUCUUUUCAAGGGCCUGUUUCCCUUGCCUCUGUAACUGUUGUGGGUAUUGAUAGCCAGGCUUCUAAACCUCUUAAAACUCCCCAACUCUGGUGCCAACUUAGACAAUACUCUUUUAAGCACUCCUUUUUAGUUAUCCCCACCUGCCCAGUUCCCUUAUUAGGCCGAGAUAUUUUAACCAAUUAUCUGCUUCCCUGACUAUUCCUGUAUUACAGCUGCAUCUCAUUGCUGCCCUUCUUCCAAAUCCAAAGCCUCCUUUGAGUCCUCCUCUUGUAUCCCCCCACCUUAACCCACAAGUAUAAGAUACCUCUACUCCCUCCUUGGCGACCGAUCAUGCACCCCUUACCAUCUCAUUAAAACCUAAUCACCCUUACCCCGCUCAAUGCCAAUAUCCCAUCCCACUACAUGCUUUGAAAGGAUUAAAGCCUGUUAUCACUCACCUGCUACAGCAUGGCCUUUUAAAGCCUAUAAACUCUCCUUACAAUUCCCCCAUUUUACCUGUCCUAAAAUCAGACAAGCCUUACAAGUUAGUUCAGGAUCUAUGCCUUAUCAACCAAAUUGUUUUACCUAUCCACCCCAUGGUGCCAAACUCAUAUAGUCUCCUAUCCUCAAUACCUCCCUCCACAAUCCAUUAUUCUGUUCUGGAUCUCAAACAUGCUUUCUUUACUAUUCCUUUGCACCCUUCAUCCCAGCCUCUCUUCGCUUUCACUUGGACUGACC